rnacentral:rRNA from 1 species
UACGUAGGGUGCAAGCGUUAAUCGGAAUUACUGGGCGUAAAGCGUGCGCAGGCGGAUGUGCAAGACCGAUGUGAAAUCCCCGGGCUCAACCUGGGAAUGGCAUUGGUGACUGUACGGCUAGAGUGUGUCAGAGGGGGGUAGAAUUCCACGUGUAGCAGUGAAAUGCGUAGAGAUGUGGAGGGAUACCGAUGGUGAAGGCAGCCCCCUGGGAUAACACUGACGCUCAUGCACGAAAGCGUGGGGAGCAAACAGG